GCUUGCUGUGCGGUUAAGUCGAAGCAUUGGAGAAGGUUAUCGCUUUUUAUCAGCUAUUUGUGACGCUUAAUGAUGGUGUACCACAGAAACGGGGGGGAAACGUCAUGCUGAAGUGCUGUCUCUUGCAGCUGAUGAUUCAAAUAGCAGUGAUACAAAUGGAUUACAGAGGGCUCAGUUCAGUGAGGAUGAAACUGUCUCUUUUGCACCUUCAGGAGAUGGCAAUAUUUCAGAUUAUGACUCUGAUGCGUUAGUGCUAUCUUCUGACACUGACUCUGAGGUUGCUGACAAUCUGUGUGAUGAUUCUGCAGAGGAAACUGGUCCUGAUCUGGGUGAGGAAAUUGCAUCUUGGGCAGCUACCAACAAAUGCAAGCUGUCUGUACUAAAUAAAUGACUAGAUAUUCUAAGGCGCCAAGGACAUCGGCUACUUUGGUAUCUGGAGUUCUAAAAUUUUAGCCCAGAAUCCUGCUUUCCCUGAAGACCGAAUAGACAUGUGCUUCAACAUUGAUGGUAUUCCACUGUUUAAAUCAUCAAGUCUGCAAAUGUGGCCAAUCCUGUUCAGUUUCCAUGAUUUUGAACUCUUCAUUGUGCCACUCUAUUGUGGAAAAGCAAAACCCAGUUCAAGAAUUCCUUUCUGAUUUUCUACAGGAGAUGCAGCAAGAUGGCAUAGUCCAUGGAGAGAAAGCACUGCAAGUAACUGUAAAAGCCUUUGUUUGUGAUGCACCAGCUCGAUCAUUUCUGAAAUGCAUAAAGAAUCACAAUAGCUACUUCGCUUGUGAGCGCUGCACAGUUAAAGGCACCUUUGUGGGACGAGUUAUUCUUGGUGCUACAGCGUCUGGUUAUAACACCCGCAAGACCGGCCUCAACCACGCCCCGGCACCAGCGUCUCCAUUACUCUAUUUUCCGCACUAUAAGGCGCACUCGAUUAUAAGGGGCACCAUCAAUGAAUGGCCUGUUUUAGAAGUGUUUUCAUAUAUAGGGCGCACCGGAUUAUAAGGCGCAUUGAAUAGUAGACGAUACGGCAGUUAAACGUUUGACUGGGUUUGCGUUAUGCAUCCACUAGAUAGAGCUGUGCUGGCGCAGGUCAUCUUCUUGCUUCCUCCACUUCCGUACCAUUGAUUCAUUAAUGUUGAAGUCUCUCGCUGCUGCUCUAUUCCCAUGUUCUACUGUGUGACCGACAGCCUUGAGCUUGAACUCUGCGCUUUUAAGUGUGCCUUAUAGUGCGGAAAAUAUGGUACAUCGUCACACUUUAUCCCUGGACUUUUAGUUACACUACAUCCCAGGACUCUGUGCACUCACUCAUCAACACUGAUCAUUCGCACCUGCAUCCCAUCAGUCACACCUGCACUCAAUCACCCACACGUUAUUUAACCUCCACUCGCACCACCAGUCAGGGUCAGGUCUACUUGUAUUUUACCCAAGUUAUACUCACCCCUGGAUACUCUGUUUAUAUCUUUUCCGAGGUCCCUUGAAUGUUUACCUUGGAUUGUUCAAUGUUUCCUGUGGAUGUUGGUCAUUACCCCGUGUCAUAUUAAAUCACUUUCACUUACCUCGGUGUUGGAUCGUGUCUGUCUUCAGCGUGUGUGGAUUGUUACACACCAAUCUGAUGCAAGGUCUGAAGCUGAAUUCUGUAGACUUGCCUACAAAGACCACCAAACUGGGAAAUCCCCUCUGACACUAGCUGGAAUUCCAUGUGUUUGUCCAUUUGCAUUGGAUUACAUGCACUUGGUGUGUUUGGGUGCAGUUAGGAGAAUGCUUCACUACAUGCAGAGAGGACCCCACACAUGCAGACUGUCAUUUCAGCAAAGGAGGACAUUUCAGAUAAACUGAGGCAUUGAAUGGUGAACUACCUAGUGAGUUUGCACGGCAACCUAGGACAUUGAUGGAAUUGGACAGGUUGAAGGCUACAGAACUUAGACAGUUUCUCCUUUAUACUGGACCAGUGGUUCUAAGAAAAGUGGUUUCACAUGUUGUGUACAAGCACUUUUUUUUUCUUGAUGGUUGGGGUGUCAGUCCUGUUGAAUUCGGAUGAUGCAGAGCGUAAGGAACACUUUGACUAUGUCCGAGAGCUACUCAUGUACUAUGUAAAGACGUGUGAGGAUACAUAUGGAAUCACAUUCACUGUAUACAAUGUUCAUUCACUAAUUCACGUACCGAUGAUGUGGAACUCUUCAACUGUUCACUGAAUGGGAUUUCAUGCUUAACCGCAAACUCUAAAGAAAGUGGUCAGACAAUCUCACAAUCCUAUAGCCCAAGUUGUCAAGCGUUUAGCAGAACUAGAACAUUCUACAAAAUCUAGGUCUUUUACCAAAGAGAGCUUUUCUCGCUUAUCCACAAGGCCAAGAGAUUGUUGUUUCGUCCUUCAGAACAAUGACUGUCUUUGUAAAGGAGGAGCAUGAAGAAGGGCUACGCCAAUAGAACACAGAGUUUCUUCACUGAUCCAUGUGAUUCCAAACUGCUUAACAUUGUCUGUGCUAGAGAUAUCAGUAGAACAACUCGCCGACUGAUCAGCAAACAGCAGUUGAUUUGUGAUGUUGUCUGUCUGCCAGCCAACCCUGGUAAAGCUGGCCGUGGAUUCAUUUUGUUCCCUAUGUUGCUUGAAAUGGAACGUAACUGAAUAGUAAGUAUAUCACUGGAACUAAUGUUUCUUACUGCUUUUCCAUUAUCUUUGUGAGGAUGUGGAUGUUGUAUAUGAUGCUUGUUUUGAGAGUGGAGAGGAAAAUGCUGCCCUUCAAUAGAUUGCAUUCAGCAUGUUCAGAGAAUGAUUAAAAAAAAAACACUUUACAAAAAUCUAAACAAAUCAGUAGUUAUUGUUUAGGUCAUGAUGUGUUGAUGGAAGAGCCAAAUGGAAAGGAGGAGUCAUCCCGGAGGUUUGGGUGAAGGACAACUUGGUACACUAGCCACCAGGGGCUAAUGAAACUAAAGCAGCUAAAGAGAUGCGAACGCCAGCAAGUAGCUGGAAAAUGUUUCCACUGCUGAAGAUCAAAUUCAAGUCAAAUUAUCAGGAAGUGUGUGAGGCAUUCGACAAAACAAGUACUGCAGAUCUUAGUGAGGAAGAAUGUGGUCCUGUCAAGAGGGCAUCAAUGAAAAAAAAAACUACCCAGGGUUUAUCUUAGAUGAGGAUGAAAGCACCCCAGAUGGUCCUCGAAGUGAAGGUCUCUCCUUUCCAAAACCAAAACCACCAAAGCUUUGAGAAAUGUCUAGCCAGGUAUCAGGAUCAGAAGAAAAUAAGUCUUAAUCCUGGUCUAGAAGUCUUCUCCAUGACCCUCACUUUCUGCUCCAAAGUUGUCGCUCUCCACGCCAGCGAUCCCACACAUCCACGCAACAGUACUUCACGCCACCGUUCCCAAAUCUCAGACCCACAGCACCCCACGACAGCAGUUCCACACUCCACGCCAGCGCUCCCACACUCAACGCCACAGUACUUCAUGCCACCAUUCCCAAUCUCCGACCCACAGCAACCCAUGCAAGCAGUUCCACGCCCGUGUUCCCAAACUCCACGCCACAGUACUUCACGCCACCGUUCCCAAUCUCCGACCCAUAGCACCCCACACCAGCGGUCCCACACUCCUCACCACGGAUCCCUGUCUCUACAGCACAGCUCUCAACAUCAGCCCUCCCGCUCUACUUAUGAGUUGUCCAACAGUCCAGGUAUGGGGAACCAGAACAAAGAGGGCUGAGAGCUAUUCCCAUUGGAUAAUGGAAAAUUCCAAAAGCGGGUCCUCUAUCUUCUGUCUGAUAUUCGGGCAAAGCUGUUAGAGGUGGGCCAAAACCUUGAGCCCCCAGAGUCCGUUCCACCUUGAUAAGAUGAACAGCAGGCGUGACCUGAAAAAUCUGGAAGGGCAACUGGCCGGUGAUGAAAAGAGGAAUGUGAUGAGUUCUUACAAACAGAUUGAUGACAACAAUGAAUAUUGAUGUCUCAGGGCUGAUGAAGGCCUUUGGAGACACGCAGCUCUGCCGUGUUAUAAUAGGUACUACCUUACUUUUCUUGUAUGAUUAGAGGAUCUAGUAUCUAAUCCAGUGUAACCCAUUGUGCACCAAGCUUUUAGCCAUCACAGAUGCCUAGUGGCAAUUAGGCGUGGGAGUCAGAGGGUACCUCAUGAUACGAUACAAUAUGCGAUGCCUGCUCACGAUACCGAUGAUAUCGUGAUGUGGCAAUACUACGAUAAUCAAUAUUUUGUCUGUCAAUUCUGCCUAACUACUAAAACAAAAAGCCCAACUUGUUCAACAUUUCAAUUAAAUUAAACAUGUAAUGCUUCAAUUAAAAGCUUAUCUUUGUAAACUGACACAUUUAAAACAUUUAACAACUCUUACAUUUUUAAUAAUGGCACAUUUCUAAAUUUAACAGCCACAUAUUUAAACCCGGGAAAAUAAAGUGUUAACCAGCUUAAAUAAAAUAAACAUUUAAGUGCAGCGACUUGCAUUUCAUCCAUGCACAUGAACGUUCAUUCACGAAUAUGCAUGGACCACAUUUUAUUUUACACACAAUCCUAAACUCAUCCUCAGACUAGUUUGUUCACGUUUCCCUCAUUUGCGUGUUAAGCGCCACCCAGUGUAGCCAUGAUGCCAAGAAUCUCUGGAACCGCUGAGAUGCCCAGGGGAAGUUUGAUGCAGGAUAGGGACCAUCCGCUGCUUCACGUCGUAGAUCCGGCAAUAUAUAAGCUUAAAUUUUAAAGUGUUAAUCAUGAGCGAUGGCUCUGAAGAACAAAAGGUAAAUGAAUGCUGCACGCCGUCUUCCUUUUAUACUAACUCUCCACUGGUCGCGCUAGAGGCUGACUGUAGCUCUGGGUCAGACAGUAGUAGGGCUGGGACUGACUCUAGCGCUGGGGCUUCCAAACCACUUGUUUUCUAAGAGUUUCUAUACGAAUGGCCGUUUUCCUGUCUUGAAGGUUUGCCAUGCAUUAGAAAGCUUUCUACAAUCUAUAAACGUUUAAAGCGAGCUGGUUAGUCCAGGUUAGCAAUUAUAAUGCUACCUUACAUGAAAUUUAAUGCCAAACCUAUGGUGGCACUACAAAUGAUGACAUAUGUAAUCAUAUUAUAUAAGCCCUGGUAAUAGAUAGGCCUUAAAUUAAACCCUCUAGUCAUGGUCACCAUAUGAUGCACUAUAUGAAUUCUCUGAUGAAAGCAAUGGUUUUGCCCAGAUAUUUGCUAGAUUUGACAUCUAUGCUCAAAUAAUAAUAAAAAUUGACUCUUUCUGUGUGCACUCAGCUGUGCGUUACAGUAUUCUUGUCAAUUGACUCACCGAUGCUUACUCUUGGCCUACCCCCAGGAAACAUUUUUUCCAGGAGCUUCCCUAGCUGAAAAACAUUUGUCUUCUCGCCGUCAAAAUCCUUCAUAGCCUUGACCUCAGGUGGCCGGUAAUCAUAUGCUCCUGUAACAAAGAUGUUAUCAAAGUUCAGCGAAUCUGUGUUAGGGUCACAUGACAAAUACGAUUCCAGACUGUUACAAAAACCCAAAAUGCCAGCUCACCUCUAUAUUUAUGGUUGGGAAAGAGUUUGCCCUUUUUGUAUUCAAGAGCACAGCAGAAGACUAUUAACAUGAGGUUGUAGGUUCUGGUGUUGACCAGGAUGUUGCUUGUGUGGAUGUCGUUAUGAAAGACGCCUCGGUCAAGGCUGUGCUUCACAGCUUGAACUGUCUGACAAAUGAGGUUCCUGACUUUUUGUUCGGUGAGGUAAUGAAGAGAAAUGAAUGUCUUCAGUUCCAAGCAGGGAGCAGGACAUUCCAUAACAAUUUCUAUCUUGUCUGGGUAGUCAAACCACUCAAACAUUUCAAUGACAUAAGGACAUGUGGGAGGUUUUUGCAACAUAGCCCAUCAUUGCCACUUCAGUCAUCACAGGUUUCGGAUAGCCAGCCUAGAGAAAAAGAGAAUAAGAAAUGGUUACUUGGCUAUGGUUAACUCUUUAGAUUUAAACCACAAAUAUUGUUAUAUUUGGAUGGACGUGUCAUCAAUUUUAUCUAUGUAGAUACGAUCACAAGAGCCAGACCUACUCAAAGCUCUGUGGGGACUCAGGCAAUGUUGUCUAUUGACAAUGUCUAUUUUUUUUAACUGCAGGUUCCUAUUAAUGAUAUUUUACCAUAGACAAUUAAAUAACCACAUAUAAAUGUAUUGAUCAACUAACAACAGUAAUAGGAACGUCGUCUAUACGCCUUUUAUGGAUUUGACAACAACCUGUAAAUGAAGAAACACAAUUAUUAUACAAAGAUGAUGAUAUGACAAUCUGUAGUCUGUUUAAUGCAUACAUUUUUAUCAAGAUUUGAACAUGAAUCUUUAGGUACAUAAGGAGUAAAAUGUUGCUCAAUUCUGUAAAAGGGUGCUGCUACCUUUCGACCAUCAGAUUUGCGUAUUGCCAUGUAGACGUCUCCAUAGUUACCACUUCCUAAAGAGAAUUGUUUUUCAUAGACGGACUGAAAUUCUCCUAAAAACACAGACACAAUGAACAUAGUAAUGUUAUGUCGCAACAAGUAGUCUUGUGAUAUGACUCUAUAUACUACAUAUUAUGUUGCCAAUUCAUGUGAUUGUCUUGUCAUGUUUGUGUUUAGUUUCAAUGCGGUGAAAUUAAAAAUAUAACUGCAGGCGAUAUAAACAGAAAGACAGACUUACUAUCAGAUGGCUUAAAAGACAACAGCGUUCUUUCGUCUGUCCCAGUAGCACUUUGUCCUAAAACACAGAAAAACAAAUAUUGAUUAUUACAGUAUAAAAAAAAACAAAGACACAGAGAACAGUGAAAAGGCAAAUGAUCUAAUAUCGGCUUAAAUGUACAGAGCCCGUAUUUAUCAAGCUUCUCAAAGUGCCAUUUUAGUCUUAAUUUGGAAUUAGGAUUUCAUGAAUUCUCAGCACUUAAGUAAAAGAGCGAGCAAACAAUCAUUCUUACUCUCCCAAUUAUUUAAGACCGCUCGAGAGGUCUUUCAAGUGCUAAGGAGUUGCCACAAGGGGCUUGUGUUGGCACUUAGGAGACAGAGACAUGGGGGACAUAGAGAGGCCAAUGGAACCGUAUAAUUUCACAUUAUACACACAUAUAUUCAGUGCUCCCCUACAUAGGCGUAAUUGCGGGUGGCAAUUUUUUGAAUGUCAUAAAUGCCCCAUGGAUCAUCAGUACUGUUGCAUGUUCUCUUACUAAAUUUAAGCGCAGCAUUGAGCCGUGUUCUCUGUCAGAAGUUUGCUGGAGAUCACAGACAGACGGGACGGGCAUGAUCUGCUCUCUGACACCUAAAUCAAUCUGACCUUUGGUUGAGUGGCACAAGUUGUUGCUGGAGCGAUGGUUUUCGGAGCGACGAUGCCUGUGCCGGAUGCGCUCUCUCAAGCCCCGGAAGAAACGACAGAAUCUUGUCAGCGCAGAGGAACCACUGGCAGAAGAUGGCUGAGAACGGAUCUGCUCUCGGUCAGGAUGUUGCUUGUGUGGAUGUCGUUAUGAAAGACGCCUCGGUCAAGGCUGUGCUUCACAGCUUGAACUGUCUGACAAAUGAGGUUCCUGACUUUUUGUUCGGUGAGGUAAUGAAGAGAAAUGAAUGUCUUCAGUUCCAAGCAGGGAGCAGGACAUUCCAUAACAAUUUCUAUCUUGUCUGGGUAGUCAAACCACUCAAACAUUUCAAUGACAUAAGGACAUGUGGGAGGUUUUUGCAACAUAGCCCAUCAUUGCCACUUCAGUCAUCACAGGUUUCGGAUAGCCAGCCUAGAGAAAAAGAGAAUAAGAAAUGGUUACUUGGCUAUGGUUAACUCUUUAGAUUUAAACCACAAAAAUUGUUAUAUUUGGAUGGACGUGUCAUAAAUUUUAUCUAUGUAGAUACGAUCACAAGAGCCAGACCUACUCAAAGCUCUGUGGGGACUCGGGCAAUGUUGUCUAUUGACAAUGUCUAUUUUUUUUAACUGCAGGUUCAUAUUAAUGAUAUUGUACCAUAGACAAUUAAAUAACCACAUACAAAUGUAUUGAUCAACUAACAACAGUAAUAGGAAUGUCGUCUAUACGCCUUUUAUGGAUUUGACAACAACCUGUAAGUGAAGAAACACAAUUAUUAUACAAAGAUGAUUAUAUGACAAUCUGCAGACUGUUUAAUGCAUACAUUUUUAUCAAGAUUUGAACAUGAAUCUUUAGGUACAUAAGGAGUAAAAUGUUGCUCAAUUCUGUAAAAGGGUGCUGCUACCUUUCGGCCAUCAGAUUUGCGUAUUGCCAUGUAGACGUUUCCAUAGUUACCACUUCCUAAAGAGAAUUGUUUUUCAUAGACGGACUGAAAUUCUCCUAAAAACACAGACAAAAUGAACAUAGUAAUGCAAUGUCGCAACAAGUAGUCUUGUGAUAUGACUCUAUAUGCUACAUAUUAUGUUGCCAAUUCAUGUGAUUGUCUUUUCAUGUUUGUGUUUAGUUUCAAUGCGGUGAAAUAAAAAAUAUAACUGCAGGCGAUAUAAACAGAAAGACAGACUUACUAUCAGAUGGCUUAACAGCCAGCAGCGUUCUUUCGUCUGUCCUAGUAGCACUUUGUCCUAAAACACAGAAAAACAAAUAUUGAUUAUUACAGUAUAAAAAAACAAAGACACAGAGAACAGUGAAAAGGCAAAUGAUCUAAUAUCGGCUUAAAUGUACAGAGCCCGUAUUUAUCAAGCUUCUCAAAGUGCCAUUUUAGUCUUAAGUGCUGAGAAUUCAUGAAAUCCUAAUUCCAAAUUAAGUAAAAGAGCGAGUAAACAAUCAUUCUUACUCUCCCAAUUAUUUAAGACCGCUCGAGAGGUCUUUCAAGUGCUAAGGAGUUGCCACUAGGGGCUUGUGAUGGCACUGAGGACACAGAGACGUGAUGGACAUAGAGAGGCCAAUGGAACCGUAUAAUUUCACAUUAUACACACAUAAAUUCAGUGCUCCCCUACAUAGGCGUAAUUGCGGGUGGCACUUUUUUGAAUGUCAUAAAUGCCCCAUGGAUCAUCAGUACUGUUCCAUGUUCUCUUACUAAAUUUUAAGCACAGCAUUGAGCCGUGUUCUCUGUCAGAAGUUUGCUGGAGAUCACAGACAGACGGGACGGGCAUGAUCUGCUCUCUGACACCUAAAUCAAUCUGACCUUUGUGUGAGUGGCACAAGUUGUUGCUGGAGCGAUGGUUUUCGGAGCGACGAUGCCUGUGACGGAUGCGCUCUCUCAAGCCCCGGAAGAAACGACAGAAUCUUGUCAGCGCAGAGGAACCACUGGCAGAAGACGGCUGAGAACGGAUCUGCUCUCGGUCAGGAUGUUGCUUGUGUGGAUGUCGUUAUGAAAGACGCCUCGAUCAAGGCAGUGCUUCACAGCUUGAACUGUCUGACAAAUGAGGUUAGGGUUAGGGUUAGGGUUUGGAGUUAGGGUCAGGAGUUUGCUGGACAUCAGAGACUCCUGGGACACAUGUACCUGGCAUCAUAUAUAAAUAUUUUCAACUCUGGUCUCGUGGCAACAGUAAACUUUUUCUGCAUCAUCACAUACUUUCGUAAACAAUCCACAUUUUCUACAUGUACCUCUGGAACGUUGAUCUACAACACACAAAACAACAAACAGUAAACUGUUGAAACAUCUCAGACCAAACAUAAGAUUAACAUGUUACUGAAUAAAUCAGCAUUAGUAAAUGAUUGUGUCUUUGGCUCAUAAGACAGAAGAGAAACUUUGACAAUGACCUGAUACAGUAUGUUAUAAAACAAAGGUAAUGCUAGUGUUUGAUGUUGUUGUUAAUAAAUAUCUAGACAUAUACUGUAAGGUUAGAGACUUCACUUCAUAGAAACACUUUUCCAUCUAGCAUUUUUCAUAUUUAAUGUUCAAUUUUCUCAUUAUAUUGACUUGCAGAAAUGUGCAUUUACUAGAGAUGUAUAUUUUCAGGAAUAUUUAUCGAUUAUUGAUUACAAAUAUUUGUUAAAUAAUUGAUCUAUCACAAAACGAAUACAAACAUUUUAAUAACAAAUAAGAGUAACAGUUGCAGUGUACGUAAUCGUACUGAUGUUAACCGACACAGAGCUUUCGGUACACAAUCACACAAAUACACAUGUUUAUACGUGUUUGUCAUGCGUUUGUCGUACGUUUAUGGAAAUUAAAAAAUAUAAAACACUUUCUGGUGUUCUUUUUAGACGAUGACUUAAAACAGUGCACAAAUCUCUAAAAAAUGAAGUUUAAUGGUGUUUUUAUAAAAACAGAUAGAGUUUGAAAGAUGGCUACAUACCGUUUGUAGUCCCUUCGCAAAGCAUUGUGAACUUAACCGGUACCGUACGUUACCAGGCAGCGGGCAAUUGAUGUUAAAUAUAAAUCAAAUUUACGUCAAAGAAUUGGUCAAAAAUGCAAAUCAAAUCGAUGUCAAAACUUUACUUUACAUCAAAUUGAAGUCAACUUUUGACGUUAAUAUGAUUUACAUUUUUUUUUAACACAUUGAUGUCCUAUUCUAGACCACAAAAAUAAUGAAACCACAGUACUUAAUGUAAGACAUGUUUUAUUAAAUCCAAUCAGCUACAAUUCAAGAAUUUAAAAAUGUAAUUCAAAGAGGAUUUUAUAUUGAUUAUUGGUUUAUAUAGAGAUCAUAUCCCAAAUGAACAGAAACAAUGUGGAUAAACAAUAGGCUAAAGGCCUACUUAUUCAGAUUCUGAACACCCAUCAAUCGCUGAUUUCCCCUUUUGUUGUCCCAUACCCCCACAUCUAUCGGGAGCAGACCGGAGAUAGCUACCCAUGUAUUUUUUUAUUUCAGCCUCUGAUGCUCAAGGUUUGGACUGCUGUACUGCACCUAAAUGAAGAUGAAGACACAAUUAGCACUCAUUGUAAGACAUUAAAAUACUGCAAACAUUUUUCAGCAUCCAUCACUUGUACAUAGAAAUCCACGAAGUAAAAACUUUAAAGGCUGGGUGUCCGAUUUCUCUUAGCCGUGGUUGAAGUUCAAAUCACCAAAACAGACAUAUUCCUACCCUCAUCUUUCGCUUUCGCCAGCGCUCAGCAAGACUAAUGUAUGACUAAUGUACGAUUGGCUACAAGGUUGUUUUGGUACUCGGGCCGAGUUUGUCUAAUCAAGCAUAAUUCGGAAAUUGGACGCCCCACCUUUAAAUAAGCAUGGAUAACAAUCUAAUGGCUCAGUGAUUAUCACCAUUCUUUUCAAGUGAAUAUUAUUUUCAUUAUAUAAUUAUUGAACAUUAUAAUUUCCCUGAAUAAACCUAAAUGCGGUUCUUUAACCUGCUUUAAAUUACAGCAUCUUAUCUUGGCCAAAUAACUCUUAAAUUGAAGAACUCUGUGACUGUAAAUAAUAAAAUAUAACGUCAUUUAAUAAAAUCUAAAUAUCACUUAAUUGACCUUUUUCAUUUGUGUACUCAUCGCACAAAUGUCUAACAUAACAAUAAAAUACUUCAACUUUAUUCUUGUCUGUUUCUGUUUAUGAAACAUCGCUUUAUUUUAUUCUUUCUGAAAUGUAGAUAACUUGUCUUUAUCUUCGGUCUGUAUUAAAAGAAGUGGGUUGACUUUAGCUGCAACUUCAAUAAAAAGUUAAAAAAUCUUAUGAGUGAAUUCAGGUUUAUAUGUAUUUGCCCUUUUUGUGUUAGUAAAGAACUCAUUAUCAGAUAAUAUCACAAAUAUAUAUAUAUAUUUUUUCUUUAAAACAAGUAGAAGUCAUGUUGAAUGUCAUUUUACCUCUGUGAAAUGACAAUCGUUUUAACGUAAGACAAUCAAUCGGGUUGAAUAGAAUUUACAUUUGUUUUACACGUAGUGAACGACUUCAACAUGAGUUUAGCAUGUGUCAGAGUUAAGCAUCACAGUUAGCAUGUAGUAAAUACCAGAAGUAGACUGAGCAACGAAAGAUGAACUUCUACUAGACUGUCAAAAUUGUGCAUCUCUCUGUUCAUGAUUUGUGUGCGUCGGUCGUAUCACCCAGUCACGAGUGUAAAUGAGCAGUGAAAGACAGGUGUCGCAAACAGACGUUUACAUGUUGACUUGCGUCUUUUUGCGAGUUUAGAAUUGAGUGUAGAAUAAAUUAUGUUCCAUCCAUAUUUGUUAAUGAACGUUAAUGUGCAUAGAUUUAAUGCAAUUUGUAGCACUUAAGUGUUUAUUUUAUUUAAGCUGGUUAACACUUAAGAUGUUCCCAGGUUUAAAUAAUUGGCUGUUAUAUUUAGUUAUGUUGAUGUUUUAUUAACAAAGUUCGGGAGGAGCAUGCGCAAAUAAUUACGCAGCUGCCCGGCAUUAGCAAUCACACCACCUCUCCUACCAAACCAGAGCGAGCUCUAUAAAUAGUGAAAUCGCCUUACCACCUACACAUUUUCGCAGCAUCCCAUCUCUACCCCGACUCCUCACCAUUAACCCUCUUUUCUACCAGAAAAGGGGGGGGGGCGCUCGGGGCACGGACAAACAGAGAUUGUAGCCCUUGCCCGAACCAAGGGGGAGUGCUCCGGGUCGGGAGAGAAUGCUGACCCCGGAGCCCUGUCCCCGGACAGUACCCCAAAUAGGCAUACUAAAUUCUCAGUUUAACUACGCUGCCACCCAUUUAAUUAUUUGCUAAGGUGAACUCGUGAAAUGUGCCAUUAUUAAAUAUUUAAGAGUUGUUAAAUGUUUUGAAUGUGUCGGUUUACAAAGAUAAGCUUUUAAUUGAAGCAUUACAUGUUUAAUUUACUUGAAAUGUUGCACAUUUUGGGCAUUAUUUUUCCAGCAACAACUCUUGCCACUCACAUGAAGAGCAGAUUAAUUUGUGUCAGAGAGCAGAUCAGCUCUACAGUGCCAAAAGUCAGUGGUCCCUCUUUUCAUAGUUGCGCAGAUAUCGUGAUGUAUCGCUGUAGAAUUGACAGACAAAAUAUUGAUUAUAGUAGUAUCGCCACAUCACGAUAUCAUCAGUAUCGUGAGCCGUGUAUCGCCGCCUAAUUGCCGCUGUGCAUCUGUGAUGGCUAAAUGCUUGACACACACUGGAUAGAAACUACAUCCUCUAAUCAUACAAGUAAAGAAAAGUAGUACCUAUUAUAACACGACAGAGCUAUGACGGGCAGGUGCCAAGUCCUGCUUGACAUAUAGUGGACCUUCUACCAGGACAUUUUCGAGAACUUCAUGCUUUGUUCUGCUGACAAGCUUUUUGGAGAUGCUGAUUUCAUUUUCCAGCAGGACAUGGCACCUGCCCACACUGCGAAAGGUACCAAAUGCUGGUUCAAUAACCAUGGUGGUAUUGUGCUUGAUUGGCCAGCAAACUUGCCUGACCUGAACCCCAUAGAGAAUCUAUAUAGAUAAUCUAUGGGGUAUUGUCAAGAGUAAGAUGAGACACCAGACCCAACAAUGCAGUUGACCUGAAGGCCGCUAUCAAAGCAACCUGGGCUUCCAUUACACCGGAGCAGUACCACAGGCUGAUUCCCUUCAUGCCACGCCACAUUGAUGAAGUUAUUCAUCCAAAAGAAUGCCCAAUUUCUGUUUAAAAUAUAAAAGGACCACAUUCUUCCUCCAUAAGCUCUGCAGUACUUGUUUUGUCGAAUGCCUCACACACUUCCUGACUCUCUGAAGUAAAGUGGUUUCCACCUGCUUGAGAGUCUUCCAAGACCUGUCUCACAGGGGUCUAGAGCAGGGAAACACCAGGUUCUGGGAGGUGGAGGUCUCUGAAGACUCUCAGCAGGUGGAAACCACAGUGCUUGUGGUCGGGAUUAUUGUAGGAUUUCUUGGACUGAGGGCUGGAAUCAUUGUGAUCAUGAUGCGCAAGAUGCACCUGUCGGCUUUAUGAUCUCUCGCGUGUGAAACUGUCGGAGAAACUCUCAACACAUUCUGUUCCCGUGAUUGAAGCAUACAAGAAUUUGAGAGCAUAAUGUUUAGGCAAAUACCGCUGUCAAAAGAAAUCCAUACGUGGAACAAAUUUAGAUUGGACUUGAAGAUAAGAAACGAAUACAGUCAAGAGUUUCAAAAUUUAAACUGGUACUGUGUUUGCAUAUCAGUAUAUUUGAAACAAUUGCCUUUUGGUGAGGUACUGCUGUAUGAUUCCCAUCAAAGCGACACAUUAUCAGUUGUGCACCUCAGACUCAUUAGGUGUUUUCGUAUCCAGCCUCCUUGAUGGGCUUCUGUAUGAUUACAUACAGAAAUGGAUUUUGUAUUGUUCUAUACAUGUUGUUCCAUCUUCACUUAUAGAGAACUGCAUGGUAUCCUGCCUUUUAGGAAAACAAAAAUAAAACUACCAUGUUAUGUUGCAGUAGUGUUUUCAACAGGUAAUGUUUUCAAAGCAGUAUUAGAACUAACAUUUCUAGCUGGGCAGAUUUUAACACCACUUCCAGUGCUUGGGAAGCUUAAUUAAAUUGCAGAUGUAUAGCCUUAUAAGCAUUAUACUUAUGCGGUGGAUGUCAUUUUUGCUUAUAGUGUGUUUGGAAAACACUUGCUAAAAGAGAUCGUUGACGUGAACACAAACAGUCCAAUAACAUCAAACCCACAGUGACCUCUGAAGGACUACAGAAGAUUCAUAUUAAAGUUCUACAAGUAUUUGUAAUACUUGAAGUAUUUAAGUAUAAUGUUUAAUAUGGUUAGUGAAUAAAUGUUGCUGUAUUCAUUUGACACAAGUGGUAUUUUAAGUCUUACUACAGGAUUAUUCAUUAUACCUUUAUUAGGAAGAGUGAUCAGAAAAAGUAUAAUGUGAAGAGUUUUACAUGUAACUUAAAUCAUGCUUGUGUCCCUGUGUAUGUGUUUAAGUGUUUGGUUUCAGUUUAUUUAUUAGAUGCAUUUGGUGCACAAUAGCUUUAUCUUGAACGAAAAUAUAACAUUUUGUUACAAUUUAAUAAAACCAAUGUAAUAAAACAAAUAAAAACUGGAUACUUCUAUGCA